GUGUUUGUAAUUUAAAAAAAAUAUUAGGCCGUGACCCUAAAAUUAGGAAAUACCCUCAAGCACC
rnacentral:tRNA from 1 species